rnacentral:tRNA from 1 species
GGAAGGGUGCCGGAGCGGUCUAUCGGCUCGGUCUUGAAAACCGCUGGGGGCGCAAGCUCCACGAGGGUUCGAUUCCCUCCCCUUCCG